UGAGUACGCGCAAAUCUGGGUGAAAACCCCAGACACCGGAAACCCAAGGGUUCCUGCGCCAUGGCAAUCAGCGCAGGGUGAGGCGGAGCCUAAGGUGAGGCCCCAGAGGCGUAGCCGAUGGUCAACGGGUUGAAAGUCCCGUCCCGUCUUGCAGUGUUGAACCACAGAGGGACACUGGAACGAAGGAGGAGCGGCUUUGUGGAUGGCCGUCUAACUGUGUAGGGGCAACCCGAGACAGGAAUGCGAGGACUGCGGGGCAACCCAACGUUCAAGUCUUCUGGAGUCGACAGGCGAGAAAAGCUCUGUGCGGAACUGCAAGAUGUCCGUACCGUAAACCGACACAGGUGGGUGAGGCAGCAGCCUCAGGUGAACGAGUGAAACGUGGUCAAGGAACUCGGCAUAAUGAUCCCGUAACUUCGGAAGAAGGGAUGCCAGAGACGGUGUAGGGAACACCGAAGCUGUUUCUGGUCGCAGCGAAUCGGCCCAAGCGACUGUUUAGCAAAAACACAGGUGUGUGCCAAGCCGCACAAGGCGCCGUAUACACACUGACGCCUGCCCGGUGCCGGAAGGUUAAGGGGAGAGGUUAGCCGCAAGGCGAAGCUUUGAGCCGAAGCCCCGGUAAACGGCGGCCGUAACUAUAACGGUCCUAAGGUAGCGAAAUUCCUUGUCGGGUAAGUUCCGACCUGCACGAAUGGCGUAACGACUUGGGCACUGUCUCGACCACGUGCUCGGCGAAAUUGCAGUCUCGGUGAGGAUUCCGAGUCCCCGCGACAGGACAAAAAGACCCCAUGCACCUUUACUGUAGCUUGUCAUUGGUCGUUGCACAUCGCUGUGUAGCAUAGGUGGGAGUCGAUGAGCCCGGGGCGCUAGCUCUGGGGGAGACAUCAGUGAAAUACCACCCUGCGUCGUGCGACGCCCUCACCACGGCGGGAACACCCCGUCUGGGACCGUGGCAGGUGGGCAGUUUGACUGGGGCGGUCGCCUCCGAAACAGUAACGGAGGCGCGCGCAAGGUUGGCUCAGCGCGGACGGUACUCGCGCUUCUAGAGUGUAACGGCAGAAGCCAGCCUGACGGUGAGAUCGACGGAUCGAGCCGCCACGAAAGUGGGCCGUAGUGAUCCGGUAGCCCGGGGUGGAGCGGCUAUCGCGCAACGGAUAAAAGGUACGCUGGGGAUAACAGGCUUAUCGCGCCCGAGAGUUCACAUCGACGGCGCGGUUUGGCACCUCGAUGUCGGCUUAUCACAUCCUGGGGCUGGAGAAGGUCCCAAGGGUCCGGCUGUUCGCCGGUUAAAGUGGUACAUGAGCUGGGUUCAGAACGUCGUGAGACAGUUCGGUCUGUAUCCGUCGUGGGCGUUGGAGAGUUGAGGGGAGCGGACUCUAGUACGAGAGGACCGAGUCGGACGACCCGCUCGUGUCCCGGUUGUCCUGCCAAGGGCACCGCCGGGUAGCGAUGGUUGGCUGUGAUAACCGCUGAAAGCAUCUAAGUGGGAAGCACGCCCCAAGAUGAACUCUCCCGAGGCCUUGAGCCUCUUGAAGGGCCGGGGAAGACCACCCCGUCGAUAGGCCGCCCGUGGACGUCCCGCAAGGGAUUCCAAGCGCAGCGGUCCUAAUCGCCCGUACGGCUUGACU
rnacentral:rRNA from 1 species